rnacentral:rRNA from 1 species
AACGAACGCUGGCGGCAUACCUAACACAUGCAAGUCGAACGAAGCCUUCGGGCUUAGUGGCGCACGGGUGCGUAACGCGUGGGAAUCUGCCCCUUGCUUCGGAAUAACAGUUAGAAAUGACUGCUAAUACCGGAUGAAGUCUUCGGACCAAAGAUUUAUCGGCAAGGGAUGAGCCCGCGUAGGAUUAGGUAGUUGGUGGGGUAAAGGCCUACCAAGCCGACGAUCCUUAGCUGGUCUGAGAGGAUGAUCAGCCACACUGGGACUGAGACACGGCCCAGACUCCUACGGGAGGCAGCAGUGGGGAAUAUUGGACAAUGGACGCAAGUCUGAUCCAGCAAUGCCGCGUGAGUGAUGAAGGCCUUAGGGUUGUAAAGCUCUUUUACCAGGGAUGAUAAUGACAGUACCUGGAGAAUAAGCUCCGGCUAACUCCGUG